GGGCAGCGGGUUGAAAGCUUGCUUUCAAUGCCGGCGACCGGCGCACGGGUGCGUAACGCGUAUCAAACCUGCCUCAUACUCGGGGAUAGCCUUGCGAAAGUAAGAUUAAUACCCGAUGUUGUUGCUUUCUCGCAUGGGAGAGUAACCAAAGAUUUAUCGGUAUGAGAUGGUGAUGCGUCCGAUUAGGUAGUAGGCGGGGUAACGGCCCACCUAGCCUUCGAUCGGUAGGGGUUCUGGGAGGAAGGUCCCCCACACUGGAACUGAGACACGGUCCAGACUCCUACGGGAGGGCAGCAGUGAGGAAUAUUGGUCAAUGGGCGAGAGCCUGAACCAGCCAAGUAGCGUGCAGGAUGACGGCCCUCCGGGUUGUAAACUGCUUUUAGUUGGGAAUAAAAAAAGGGACUUGUCCCUUCUUGUAUGUACCUUCAGAAAAAGGACCGGCUAAUUCCGUGCCAGCAGCCGCGGUAAUACGGAAGGUCCAGGCGUUAUCCGGAUUUAUUGGGUUUAAAGGGAGCGUAGGCGGAUUGUUAAGUCAGCGGUUAAAGGGUGUGGCUCAACCAUGCAUUGCCGUUGAAACUGGCGAUCUUGAGUGCAGACAGGGAUGCCGGAAUUCGUGGUGUAGCGGUGAAAUGCUUAGAUAUCACGAAGAACUCCGAUCGCGAAGGCAGGUGUCCGGGCUGCAACUGACGCUGAGGCUCGAAAGUGUGGGUAUCAAACAGGAUUAGAUACCCUGGUAGUCCACACAGUAAACGAUGUAUACUCGCGGUUUGCGAUAGACAGUAAGCCGCCAAGCGAAAGCAUUAAGUAU
rnacentral:rRNA from 1 species